UACGGAGGGGGCUAGCGUUGUUCGGAAUUACUGGGCGUAAAGCGCGCGUAGGCCGCUUUGUAAGUUAGAGGUGAAAGCCCGGAGCUCAACUCCGGAACUGCCUUUAAGACUGCAUCGCUAGAAUUGUGGAGAGGUAAGUGGAAUUCCGAGUGUAGAGGUGAAAUACGUAGAUAUCUGGAGGAACACCGGUGGCGAAGGCGGCUACCUGGCCCAACAUUGACGCUGAGACCCGAAAGCAUGGGGAGCAAACAGG
rnacentral:rRNA from 1 species